AGAGAUCUGGAGGAAUACCGGUGGCGAAGGCGGCCCCCUGGACAAAGACUGACGCUCAGGUGCGAAAGCGUGGGGAGCAAACAGGAUUAGAUACCCUGGUAGUCCACGCUGUAAACGAUGUCGACUUGGAGGUUGUUCCCUUGAGGAGUGGCUUCCGGAGCUAACGCGUUAAGUCGACCGCCUGGGGAGUACGGCCGCAAGGUUAAAACUCAAAUGAAUUGACGGGGGCCCGCACAAGCGGUGGAGCAUGUGGUUUAAUUCGAUGCAACGCGAAGAACCUUACCUACUCUUGACAUCCAGAGAACUUAGCAGAGAUGCUUUGGUGCCUUCGGGAACUCUGAGACAGGUGCUGCAUGGCUGUCGUCAGCUCGUGUUGUGAAAUGUUGGGUUAAGUCCCGCAACGAGCGCAAC
rnacentral:rRNA from 1 species